CCCUUAGAUGUCCUGGGCCGCACGCGUGCUACACUGACACUUACACCGAGUUUUUCCGGCCCCGAGAGGUGGCUGGUAAUCAGUAAUAGGUGUCGUGAUGGGGAUAGAUCUUUGGAAUUAUUGAUCUUGAACGAGGAAUGCCUAGUAAUCGUAGGUCAUCAGCCUGCGAUGAUUACGUCCCUGCCCUUUGUACACACCGCCCGUCGCUCCUACCGAUUUCGAGUGGUCCGGUGAACCUUUCGGACAGAGAGAGUCUCGUACAAUCUCUGAAAGUCAAGUAAACCACAUCACUUAGAGGAAGGAGAANUCGUANCA
rnacentral:rRNA from 1 species